UACGUAGGGGCGAGCGUUGUCCGGAUUUAUUGGGCGUAAAGAGCUCGUAGGUGGUUCGGUAAGUCGGAUGUGAAAUCUCCAGGCUCAACCUGGAGGGGUCAUUCGAUACUGCCGUGACUAGAGUUCGGUAGGGGAGUGUGGAAUUCCUGGUGGAGCGGUGAAAUGCGCAGAUAUCAGGAAGAACGCCCGUGGCGAAGGCGGUUCUCUGGGACGGUACUGACGCUGGAGACGCGAAAGCGUGGGGAGCGAACAGG
rnacentral:rRNA from 1 species